rnacentral:rRNA from 1 species
UGAGGAACAUGACCUUCGGCGGGGGAGUAGCCGGCCCAACGGCCGGGUAAUACCGCGUACGACCCACAUGGGGACAUCCCUGAGUGGUGAAAGCAGCAAUGCGCCGAUGGAGUGCCUCGCGGCCUAUCAGCUAGUUGGUGAGGUAACGGCUCACCAAGGCGACGACGGGUAGCCGGCCUGAGAGGGCGAUCGGCCACACUGGGACUGAGACACGGCCCAGACUCCUACGGGAGCAG